CUCCUUCAAUUUUUCUGACAUCUGGUAAUUUUCAGGCAAUGGAUACACUGAAAAGCAACUGUCUCAACAGCCCUACAGACAUUUAGCAAUUGAAGUUUCAGUUGCAUACAGUCUCUCUCUGGGUUAUCGUCAUUGCUUUGUCCAUCAGCCUUCUAGCAUUGGUAACUGUCAGAUCUUUAUUGCAGCCUGGGGUUCACUCUUGAGCUAAAGACUCAAAUAUGUCUGCAGCCAGGUCUUCCCUGGUUGCAGCUCCAGACAUCACCUCCGUGGAGGUCUUAUCAGCAUCUGUUUCCCACUUCCUCCACCCUAAGGAAGGACUCCAACUUUCCUAGGAUGGAGGAGUGGAAUUCCCUUUUUUUCCCUGGCGUUCAUGGGAGCCAUUGAUUAGGUUGGGACACUGUCUCCCUCCGCUUUCUAGGAGUUGGCUCUGUCUCUGGCCAAAAGUGAAGGCCACACUCCCGUGACUGCUCUGGGAAUGAGCUUGGUGUCUAAUAACCCAUGAAGGAGAGAGCACUUUGGAAGGCUCCUCUGUUCUCUCAUGGCCAUAAGGGGAAGCCAGCCUUGGGUGAAAGCAGAGGAGAUGGGAGAGCCAAGGUCCUUGAUGCCACUGUUGGGCCACUGAAAUGAAUCAAACAAAACCUGAAGUCCCUCCUCCUCCUGGACUGUUUCAUGAAUCAUCAUCACCCUUUACGGUUGGAGGAUGGUUGAGGAAGGCCCAGCUGUUUCCCACCAUGGUGCCUCUGUACAUCCCAGUCCAGUUCCUGAAAUGCGCUCUGUAGCCUGGAGAGCUCCUGCGCAUCCUGUGAAGCCCCAUCAAGAAUCCGCUCUCCUGCAGUCCUUCCCCGAGGCCCUCGGAGGGUCCAAGACAGCCAAUCCCUCUUCUCUGCGGUGACUCUUGCGGCCUCCCUCAUCUCGUUCCCUCCGCAGGCCUCGAGUUACCCUUGCGCCUUCCACAUUUACUGAAUGAACAAAGGCCGGGGCUGGAAUCAGGCAGGGCUUGAGCAAGUCGUGGCUCCACGUGCUAGGUGAUCAGGGCAAGUUAAUUAACACUUGGGCCUCAGUUUCCUCAGGUGUCCCACGGCGCUCCCUGUGCCCCCAUCACGGGAGUGUUGGGGGAAUUUAGCGCUUUCUCUCCCAGGGGUACUCGGCCCAGGGGCUGACCGGGUAAGCGGGAGGCUGGCACCGAGGCCCGCGGGGUGUCGGCCCCAAGCCCCUGAAGUCACAGAGGGCGGGCACGCCCGGAGGCG
rnacentral:lncRNA from 1 species